GUCGGCGACCAUACCACGUUGAGAGCACCGUUUCUCGUCCGACCACCUAAGUUAAGCAACUUUGGGCCCAGUUAGUACUUGCAUGAGUGACCGGCUGGGAAUACCGGGAGUUACCGGCU
rnacentral:rRNA from 1 species